rnacentral:rRNA from 1 species
UACGUAGGGGGCAAGCGUUGUCCGGAUUUCUUGGGCGUAAAGAGCGUGUAGGCGGCCUGAAAGGUCAGCUGUGAAAACUCGAGGCUCAACCUCGAGACGUCGGUUGAAACCAUCUGGCUAGAGUCCGGAAGAGGAGAGUGGAAUUCCCGGUGUAGCGGUGAAAUGCGCAGAUAUCGGGAAGAACACCCGUGGCGAAGGCGGCUCUCUGGGACGGUACUGACGCUGAGACGCGAAAGCGUGGGGAGCGAACAGG